AUUGAACGCUGGCGGCAUGCUUUGCACAUGCAAGUCGAACGGUAACAGGCCGCAAGGUGCUGACGAGUGGCGAACGGGUGAGUAAUGCAUCGGAACGUGCCCAGUCGUGGGGGAUAACUACUCGAAAGAGUAGCUAAUACUGCAUACGAUCUAUGGAUGAAAGCGGGGGACCGUAAGGCCUCGCGCGAUUGGAGCGGCCGAUGUCAGAUUAGGUAGUUGGUGGGGUAAAGGCUCACCAAGCCAACGAUCUGGAGCUGGUCUGAGAGGACGACCAGCCACACUGGGACUGAGACACGGCCCAGACUCCUACGGGAGGCAGCAGUGGGGAAUUUUGGACAAAGGGCGCAAGCCUGAUCCAGCAAUGCCGCGUGCAGGAAGAAGGCCUUCGGGUUGUAAACUGCUUUUGUACGGAACGAAACGGCUCUGGUUAAUACCCGGGGCUAAUGACGGUACCGUAAGAAUAAGCACCGGCUAACUACGUG
rnacentral:rRNA from 1 species